ACCGAUCAAACAUAUUCUUCCUCCGCAGUUCUAUCUAGUCGCCUCAUCGCUCUGUUGGUAUAUAUUCUUAGAUUCGAUGAGAGACUGAUUAGAGAAUCUCCACUGCGGAUGAUAAUUUUACCAGUCUGACUAUACCUUAGAAGAAGAGGAUCGUGCAGAAGUGUAACAUUUUCAUGCCAAAAUGUGGUAAAAUUAUUGAUCGAGAAAACUAGACAUUGGUAUCCGACAUAUGUGUCGCAGUUGUGUCAUUGUAAGAGCUUAUGAUCGAUCUUUAUCUAAAAUGUAAAUGUAAAUAUCUUUAUAUUAUUACUGCGAA